rnacentral:lncRNA from 1 species
UUGGAAUUUGCCCCUGACAAAUAAGAAAAUGAUGAGUGAUGCAAGUGACAUAUUGGCUGCGACGUUGGAGCAGAUGGAUGGUAUCAUAGCAGGUUCUAAGGCCCUGGAAUAUUCCAGUGGGAUUUUUGGUUGCCAAUCUCCCACCUCUCCAUCCAUGGGAAGUUUGUGAGCCCUGCACCUUGUGGAAGACCUGCGUGGAUUAUUAGAGAUGAUGGAAACAGAUGAGAAAGAAGACUUGAGCUGCCAGUUCCCAGAUUCAACAGUAGAAAUGCUAAUUGAAUGGUUUCAAAGUCAAAUGACAGGACAGCAGAGCUCAGGAAAGAACAAAGCGAAACAAAGGGGAAACAGGAAAGACAACUGUAGACCAAUGCAAACCAAUAGAACCCAGAAAAUCAAAGGAAAACACAGCAUGAUGUUAUAAGUAAAAGCAGCAGACAAAUGGACACCUACCUGGGAACGGAGAUGUGUAUCAAGAAAGGCUGUCACUUUUAGAAAAUGA